AAAAGGAAAUGUUUUGAUGACAUUUUAGCCCUUAUAUAACUAUGCAUUCGUAUUUGUCUUUGCUAUAGUUCAUUCUAAGAGUAAUAUUUUCAACAAUUAAGGGAAGCUCUUACAUACCAGCAUUAUACACUUAGAUAUGGAUAAAUUUCUGUAGUAAGUAGUGUGAGUCAUCUGUCAUGAACUGUACAAUAUAAAUGUUUUUGUCAGCAUUGUGGAUCAGCAUUUUUAUUGAUUUAUUUUUGCAAUAUUUGCAAAUUAUAGGGAUCUCUUGGGGAGCUCUUAAUUUUACUUCUCUAUGGAUGGCAAAAUGUGAAAGCAACAAGAGAGCAUUUUGGACGUUCUGAAAUAUUCAAGACCUGCCCUACAAAAAGAAAACUACAUUAAACAAAUUAGCGGAAAAAAAGGCUACAACAAAUCUGGUAGCAGACAUUCAGUUGGCUAUGGUGUAGAUUACACCAACUUGGGUGACCUCAAUGUUUAUGGGAAUAAACACACAUACCCCAUUAAGAAGCCCAUCUACGCGUCAACUGAUUUCAUAAAUGUAAAUAGAAAUAUCUUUAUCAUUGGACCUGCCAUAUUUUUUACAUGAGGAUAAUGAAUUUACAAAUUCAUGUGAUUUCAUUAUGUUAAAUAAUGGCUUGCUUUGAAUAAAAAAUAAAUAAAAAAAAGAUAAAUGCUUAUAUGGAAAUUUGGUCAGUUGGUAUGGAUGUAUGGAUGUAUUUAUGCAAUUACAUGCAAAUACAGUUGACUAGUAAUUGUAUUAAUAAUAGAAAUACCACUGUGUUUUCUUUUUUUUUUUUUUUGGCUGUGACCAUUAAAGUGUUAAAUAAAAAGUAUUAACGUA
ensembl:lncRNA